rnacentral:rRNA from 1 species
AUGACCUUGGAUAUGACAUCACAUAGGCUAAAUGAGCCUGUAAUGGGUCAAACUAGUGGGAUUAUAAAUUUUUGGAAUAAGGACAAUAGAAGUAGAAUUUACCCAAAGGGGCAGUUUUGCAAAAAACACCCCGGAGUUCCUGCGAACGCUAGUCGAUCUGGCGGCGACGGAAACAGAGAGAGAGGAGCGAUGGCGGCGAACCCGGCGGGGAUGCUGGCGGCGGAGAACCCGGCGGUGACCCUGGAGGCGAAGAACCCGGGGGAGUUCCCGGUGGCUAGUGUAGCCACGAGCGAGGGGUGUUUCUUCGGGAGCCCAGCCAGCAAGCUAGAUUGGGAAUCCAUCAAGACGGAGUCCAGGCGUAUCCUCCGGCGAUCUCCAGAUUGGGAGACCCGCUGGAGGCGAUUGAAGGCGCGUGCAAAGGAGCUGAUGGGCGGGAUCCCAGGUGAGACUCGGUUCCAUCAGAAGGGGAAAGUGGCGGCCGAAAGAGGCAACAGCGACAAUCAGGAGGUACUGCCAUACAUUAGGAGAUCUUCUCCAAAGGAAGUACUCCCGUCCAGAGUAGGAUUUGCGGAUUUGAGUAUUAAUGUUUUGGAAAGAAAUGCUACUGAUCAGAUUCCUAGAGAGAUUUUCUCUUUGAGAAUUAUAAAAGAUGAAGAGGGAAAUCAGUUGAGGGCUUUUAUCUGCACAUUUAGGGAGAAGAGAGAAAUUAGGGGGAUUUUAAGUUGGAAACUGCUCUUUCAAGACCCUUUAUUUUUCUUUAAAUGCACGAAUUUCGUCCUGUUUGUGGCGAACUCAGGAGAGGGGAGACACUAUUUUAACACCGAGGGGGAUUGCUGGAGGUCCUCAGUUCAUCAUACAGGAAAAAAAUACUCUAUCUUCCUUUCGGGUUUUCUUGUCUAG